rnacentral:rRNA from 1 species
GACGAACGCUGGCGGCGUGCUUAACACAUGCAAGUCGAGCGAGGCCCCUCCUUCGGGAGGGUGUCCUAGCGGCGAACGGGUGAGUAACACGUGGGCAACCUGCCCUCAGCUCUGGGAUAACUCCGGGAAACCGGGGCUAAUACCGGAUACGACCUCCACGGGCAUCUGCGGAGGUGGAAAGUUUUUCGGCUGAGGAUGGGCCCGCGGCCUAUCAGCUAGUUGGUGGGGUAGUGGCCCACCAAGGCGGCGACGGGUAGCCGGCCUGAGAGGGCGACCGGCCACACUGGGACUGAGACACGGCCCAGACUCCUACGGGGGGCAGCAGUGGGGAAUAUUGCGCAAUGGGCGAAAGCCUGACGCAGCGACGCCGCGUGGGGGACGAAGGCCUUCGGGUUGUAAACGUCUUUCAGCAGGGACGAAGCGAAAGUGACGGUACCUGCAGAAGAAGCACCGGCCAACUACGU